GGCGGCCAUUGAGUUUGCAAGGUGCUACAGGGUUCACUACUGGACAUUGUUCAGAAGGGCGACAGAGUUUGCAAAGUGCUACAAGUUUCACUGGACAUCGUUUAGAAGGAUGACAGAGUUUACAGAGGUGCAGCAGGAUUCACUUGACAUUGUCUAGAAGGAUGAACUAGUUUGAAAAUAUGUUUUAUGGUUCACUUGAUAUAUUCCAGAAGGAGGUGAUAGUUUCAAAGGUCUGACAUGGUUCACUGAUCAUUCGAUUCACAAUGAGGGCAGUGUUUUUUGUUUUGCUUCACUGAAGAUGGUCAAAAAGGAAAAAAAAAGUACAAUUAACAAAUUGCUGGAUGAUUAGACCCAGUAGAUGAUUUUAAUGUAAAGGUCUUUACCAAACUAACGGUCAAUUAGUUUUUACAAGCAGGGUAAAUUUCGACAGCAUUAUGUUCAGAUGCUGCAUAAUCCUGUUAAGUACAUCAAGCCCACAUGUAGAAAGUAACAUCUUGAGCUGUUGGUUAAAUUUACUAAGAACAAAGGUUCCUACAUUUGUUUUAAUAACAGACCACUGUUGCUUCUCAUUUUCUUCCGGGUUCAUUAUUGUCAUAGAUUUUGUUUUCACAUGUUCUGAAUUUAUCUCAAUUUUAGUAAUUACAUGUAAGAAAAGUAAAACAAAAAUCA
rnacentral:lncRNA from 1 species